rnacentral:rRNA from 1 species
ACGGAGGGUGCAAGCGUUGCUCGGAAUCACUGGGCGUAAAGCGCACGCAGGCGGCUUUUCAAGUCGGAUGUGAAAGCCCCGGGCUCAACCCGGGAACUGCAUUCGAAACUGGGAGGCUUGAGUUCGAGAGAGGGUGGUGGAAUUCCUGGUGUAGAGGUGAAAUUCGUUGAUAUCAGGAGGAACAUCGGCGGCGAAGGCGGCCACCUGGCUCGAUACUGACGCUCAUGUGCGAAAGCGUGGGGAGCAAACAGG